UACCAGCACCCCGAGUGGUCGGGACGAUUAUUGGGCCUAAAGCAUCCGUAGCCGGCCUUACAAGUCCCCGUUAAAUCCAACUGCUUAACAGAUGGGCUGCGGAGGAUACUAUAAGACUAGGAGGCAGGAGAGGCAAGCGGUACUCAGUGGGUAGGGGUAAAAUCCGUUGAUCCAUUGAAGACCACCAGUGGCGAAGGCGGCUUGCCAGAAUGCGCUCGACGGUGAGGGAUGAAAGCUGGGGAGCAAACCGGAUUAGAUGACCCUAG
rnacentral:rRNA from 1 species